rnacentral:rRNA from 1 species
AUUGAACGCUGGCGGCAGGCUUAACACAUGCAAGUCGAACGGUAACAUAAAGAAGCUUGCUUCUUUGAUGACGAGUGGCGGACGGGUGAGUAAUGCUUGGGAAUCUAGCUUAUGGAGGGGGAUAACUACGGGAAACUGUAGCCAAUACCGCGUAGUAUCGAGAGAUGAAAGUGUGGGACCUUCGGGCCACAUGCCAUAGGAUGAGCCCAAGUGGGAUUAGGUAGUUGGUGAGGUAAAGGCUCACCAAGCCGACGAUCUCUAGCUGGUCUGAGAGGAUGACCAGCCACACUGGGACUGAGACACGGCCCAGACUCCUACGGGAGGCAGCAGUGGGGAAUAUUGCGCAAUGGGGGCAACCCUGACGCAGCCAUGCCGCGUGAAUGAAGAAGGCCUUCGGGUUGUAAAGUUCUUUCGGUAGCGAGGAAGGCA